AGGNAUUUNUCAUUGGCGAAAGCUGAGAGCAUACGCGUGACGAUNAGGUCUUUGGAUGUAAAGUCUUUAUUAGGGACGAACGGUCACAGCAGGAAAUGGUUGUGAUUUGACUGUACCUUUUGAAUAAGUAACGGCAAACUUUGUGCCAGCAGCCGCGGUAAUACAAAGGUUACAAGCGUUAUCCGGAUUUACUGGGCGUAAAGCGAGCGCGGGCUGAUUAACAAGUCUGGUGUUAAAUACUGUUGCUUAACAAUAGUAUGCAUUGGAAACUGUUAAUCUAGAGUAUGAUAGGGAGUUCAAGAACUCCAUGUGGAGCGGUGGAAUGCGUAGAUAUAUGGAAGAAUACCAGUGGUGAAGACGUGAACUUAGGUCAAUACUGACGCUUAGGCUCGAAAGUGUGGGGAGCAAAUAGGAUUAGAUACCCUAGUAGUCCACACCGUAAACGAUGAUCAUUAGGUGUAGCCACGAUAGUGGUUGUGCCGUAGUUAACACGUUAAAUGAUCCGCCUGGGUAGUACAUUCGCAAGAAUGAAACUCAAACGGAAUUGACGGGGACCCGCACAAGUGGUGGAGCAUGUUGUUUAAUUCGACAGUACACGCAAAACCUUACCAGGGUUUGACAUGUUGAGCAAAGUUGUAGAAAUACAAUGGAGGUUAACUCAAACACAGGUGGUGCAUGGUUGUCGUCAGCUCGUGUCGUGAGAUGUUGGGUUAAGUCCCGCAACGAGCGCAACCCUUUUCGUUAGUUAAUUUAUCUAGCGAUACUGCUUACGCAAGUAAGAGGAAGGUGGGGAUGACGUCAAAUCAUCAUGCCCUUUAUACCCUGGGCUACAAACGUGCUACAAUGGUAAAUACAAACCGUCGCCAAACAGUAAUGUGGAGCUAAUCGGAAAAAGUUUAUCUCAGUUCAGAUUGAGGGCUGCAAUUUGUCCUCAUGAAGCUGGAAUCACUAGUAAUCGCGAAUCAGACAUGUCGCGGUGAAUACGUUCUCGGGUCUUGUACACACCGCCCGUCAAACUAUGAGAGCCGCUAAUACCUAAAACCGUUUCGCUAACCGCAAGGAAGCAAACGUCUAGGUAG
rnacentral:rRNA from 1 species